GACGGAGGAUGCAAGUGUUAUCCGGAAUCACUGGGCGUAAAGCGUCUGUAGGUGGUCAAAUAAGUCAACUGUUAAAUCUUGAGGCUCAACCUCAAAAUCGCAGUCGAAACUAUUAGACUAGAGUAUAGUAGGGGUAAAGGGAAUUUCCAGUGGAGCGGUGAAAUGCGUAGAGAUUGGAAAGAACACCGAUGGCGAAGGCGGGUCUCUGGACAGUUCCUGACGCUGAGGCACGAAGGCCAGGGGAGCAAACGGG
rnacentral:rRNA from 1 species